GCCAGCCGCUCAGAACUUAAGGAAUUGACGGGGCCGCACAAGCGGUGGAGUAUGUGGUUUAAUUCGAUGCAACGCGAAGAACCUUACCUGGUCUUGACAUCCCGGAGACCCUUAGGAACUAGGGGUGCUUCCAUCUGGAAGAAUCUGGAGACAGGUGCUGCAUGGCUGUCGUCAGCUCGUGUCGUGAGAUGUUGGGUUAAGUCCCGCAACGAGCGCAACCCUUGCCUUUAGUUGCCAGCAGUUCGGCUGGGCACUCUAAAGGGACUGCCGGUGUUAAACCGGAGGAAGGUGGGGAUGACGUCAAGUCCUCAUGGCCUUUAUGACCAGGGCUACACACGUACUACAAUGGCCGAUACAAAGGGCAGCGACACUGCGAGGUGAAGCCAAUCCCGUAAAAUCGGUCUCAGUCCGGAUUGGAGUCUGCAACUCGACUCCAUGAAGUUGGAAUCGCUAGUAAUCGUGGAUCAGCAUGCCACGGUGAAUACGUUCCCGGGCCUU
rnacentral:rRNA from 1 species